UCUGGGCGUGGUGGCGCGCGCCUGUAGUCCCAGCUACUUGGGAGGCUGAGGCUGGAGGAUCGCUUGAGCCCAGGAGUUCUGGGCUGCAGUGCGCUAUGCCAAUCGGGUGUCCGCAUUAAGUUCGGCAUCAAUAUGGUGACCUCCCGGGAGAGGGAGACCACCAGGUUGCCUAAGCAGGGGUAGAUAGCAUAAUGGUUAUGCAAACAGACUCUCACACCUGAGGCUCCAAAGUCCCAGGUUCAGU
rnacentral:SRP_RNA from 1 species